rnacentral:rRNA from 1 species
UACGUAGGGGGCGAGCGUUGUCCGGAGUUACUGGGCGUAAAGGGCAUGCAGGCGGUCCGACACGUUUUGUGUGACAGCGGGUGGCUUAACUACCCGAGGAUACGAAAGACGGUAGGACUUGAGGACUCGAGAGGGACACGGAAUUCCGGGUGGAGUGGUGAAAUGCGUAGAGAUCCGGAGGAACACCAAAGGCGAAGGCAGUGUCCUGGCGAGUGACUGACGCUGAGGUGCGAAAGCGUGGGGAGCAAACAGG